rnacentral:rRNA from 1 species
UACGGGGGGGGCAAGCGUUGUUCGGAAUUACUGGGCGUAAAGGGCUCGUAGGUGGCCAACUAAGUCAGACGUGAAAUCCCUCAGCUUAACUGGGGAACUGCGUCUGAUACUGGAUGGCUUGAGUUUGGGAGAGGGAUGUAGAAUUCCAGGUGUAGCGGUGAAAUGCGUAGAUAUCUGGAGGAAUACCGGUGGCGAAGGCGGCUUUCUGGACAGUAACUGACGCUGAGGCGCGAAAGCUAGGGGAGCAAACAGG